CAGCCGCCACGGUAAUACGUAGGGUGCAAGCGUUAAUCGGAAUUACUGGGCGUAAAGCGUGCGCAGGCGGUUAUAUAAGACAGAUGUGAAAUCCCCGGGCUCAACCUGGGAACUGCAUUUGUGACUGUAUAGCUAGAGUACGGCAGAGGGGGAUGGAAUUCCGCGUGUAGCAGUGAAAUGCGUAGAUAUGCGGAGGAACACCGAUGGCGAAGGCAAUCCCCUGGGCCUGUACUGACGCUCAUGCACGAAAGCGUGGGGAGCAAACAGGAUUAGAUACCCCCGUAGUCCCUGUCUCUUAUAA
rnacentral:rRNA from 1 species